GGAGAUUUGGCUCAGUGGUAGAGCACUUGCCUAGCAAGCGUAAGGUCCUGGGUUCGGUCCCCAGCUCCA
rnacentral:tRNA from 1 species